rnacentral:rRNA from 2 species
CGUAGGUGGCAAGCGUUAUCCGGAUUUAUUGGGCGUAAAGCGAGCGCAGGCGGUUUUUUAAGUCUGAUGUGAAAGCCCUCGGCUUAACCGAGGAAGCGCAUCGGAAACUGGGAAACUUGAGUGCAGAAGAGGACAGUGGAACUCCAUGUGUAGCGGUGAAAUGCGUAGAUAUAUGGAAGAACACCAGUGGCGAAGGCGGCUGUCUGGUCUGUAACUGACGCUGAGGCUCGAAAGCAUGGGUAGCGAACAGGAUUAGAUACCCUGGUAGUCCAUGCCGUAAACGAUGAAUGCUAGGUGUUGGAGGGUUUCCGCCCUUCAGUGCCGCAGCUAACGCAUUAAGCAUUCCGCCUGGGGAGUACGACCGCAAGGUUGAAACUCAAAGGAAUUGACGGGGGCCCGCACAAGCGGUGGAGCAUGUGGUUUAAUUCGAAGCAACGCGAAGAACCUUACCAGGUCUUGACAUCUUUUGAUCACCUGAGAGAUCAGGUUUCCCCUUCGGGGGCAAAAUGACAGGUGGUGCAUGGUUGUCGUCAGCUCGUGUCGUGAGAUGUUGGGUUAAGUCCCGCAACGAGCGCAACCCUUAUGACUAGUUGCCAGCAUUUAGUUGGGCACUCUAGUAAGACUGCCGGUGACAAACCGGAGGAAGGUGGGGAUGACGUCAAAUCAUCAUGCCCCUUAUGACCUGGGCUACACACGUGCUACAAUGGAUGGUACAACGAGUUGCGAGACCGCGAGGUCAAGCUAAUCUCUUAAAGCCAUUCUCAGUUCGGACUGUAGGCUGCAACUCGCCUACACGAAGUCGGAAUCGCUAGUAAUCGCGGAUCAGCACGCCGCGGUGAAUACGUUCCCGGGCCUUGUACACACCGCCCGUCACACCAUGAGAGUUUGUAACACCCGAAGCCGGUGGCGUAACCCUUUAGGGAGCGAGCCGUCUAAGGGACAAAGAUGGG